rnacentral:tRNA from 1 species
GCCUGGGUGGCUCAGUCGGUUAAGUGUCUGACUUCGGCUCAGGUCAUGAUCUCACAGUUCGUGGGUUCGAGCCCCGCAUCAGGCU